rnacentral:rRNA from 1 species
UGUUUCGGCUAGGGGGCCAUCCCGGCUUACCAACCCGAUGCAAACUGCGAAUACCGGAGAAUGUUAUCACGGGAGACACACGGCGGGUGCUAACGUCCGUCGUGAAGAGGGAAACAACCCAGACCGCCAGCUAAGGUCCCAAAGUCAUGGUUAAGUGGGAAACGAUGUGGGAAGGCCCAGACAGCCAGGAUGUUGGCUUAGAAGCAGCCAUCAUUUAAAGAAAGCGUAAUAGCUCACUGGUCGAGUCGGCCUGCGCGGAAGAUGUAACGGGGCUAAACCAUGCACCGAAGCUGCGGCAGCGACACUCAGGUGUUGUUGGGUAGGGGAGCGUUCUGUAAGCCUGUGAAGGUGGCCUGUGAGGGUUGCUGGAGGUAUCAG